GGGGUUGUAGCUCAGUGGCUGAGCGCUUGCCUUGAAUGUGUGAGGCACUGGGUUCUAUCCUCAGCACCUCA
rfam:Ictidomys tridecemlineatus contig082129, whole genome shotgun sequence.